rnacentral:lncRNA from 1 species
UGAAGGGGGAGGAGGGGAUGUGUAGACAUAGGGUGGUGGGGGUGAUUUCUCCGGCGGUGGUGGGGACUUGUAGUAGUAAGGUGGUGGAGGAGAUGGCGAUGGUGGUGGUGGGGACUUGUAGUAGUAAGGAGGGAGUGGUGAUGGAGAUGGUGGUGGGGGAGAUUUGUAGUAGUAGGGAUGAGGGGAUGGAGAUGGUGGUGGGGGAGAUUUGUAGUAGUAGGGAUGAGGGGAUGGAGAUGGUGGUGGGGGAGAUUUGUAGUAGUAGGGAUGAGGGGAUGGAGAUGGUGGUGGUGGGGAGACGUAAUGAUAAGGUGGUGGUGGAGAUUUCUCCGGCGGUGGUGGGGAGAUGUACUGAUAAGGUGGUGGUGGGGAUUUCUCCGGAGGUGGUGGGGAGAUGUAGUGAUAAGGUGGUGGUGGGGAUUUUUCCGGUGGUGGUGGGGAGAUGUACUGAUAAGGUGGUGGUGGAGAUUUUUCCGGUGGUGGUGGGGAGAUGUACUGAUAAGGUGGUGGUGGAGAUUUUUCCGGUGGUGGUGGGGAGACGUAAUAAUACGGCUUUGGUGGAGGUUUCACCGGUGGUGGCGGUGACUUGUAUAGGUAAGUUGGUGGUGGAGGUGGUGGUGAUUUAUAGACAUAAGUUGGUGGUGGUGGGGAGACGUAAUAAUACGGCUUUGGUGGAGGUUUCACUGGUGGUGGCGGUGACUUGUAUAGGUAAGUUGGUGGUGGAGGUGGUGGUGAUUUAUAGACAUAAGUUGGUGGUGGUGGGGAGACGUAAUAAUACGGCUUUGGCGGAGGUUUCACCGGUGGUGGCGGUGACUUGUAUAGGUAAGUUGGUGGUGGAGGUGGUGGUGAUUUAUAGACAUAAGUUGGUGGUGGUGGGGAGACGUAAUAAUACGGCUUUGGUGGAGGUUUCACCGGUGGUGGCGGUGACUUGUAUAGGUAAGUUGGUGGUGGAGGUGGUGGUGAUUUAUAGACAUAAGUUGGUGGCGGAGGAGAUAUGUAGUGGUAAGGAGCAG